rnacentral:rRNA from 1 species
UACGCAGGGUGCAAGCGUUACUCGGAAUUACUGGGCGUAAAGCGUGCGUAGGCGGUGAGUUAAGUCUGUCGUGAAAGCCCCGGGCUCAACCUGGGAAUGGCGAUGGAUACUGGCUCGCUAGAGUGCGGUAGAGGAGAGUGGAAUUCCCGGUGUAGCAGUGAAAUGCGUAGAGAUCGGGAGGAACAUCAGUUGCGAAGGCGGCUCUCUGGACCAGCACUGACACUGAGGCACGAAAGCGUGGGGAGCAAACAGG